ACACGUACGCUGUCACCUCCGGGAGAGGCCACGGGUGGCAGCGAGUCCUGAACUCUUUCCAACACGAGCUGCCCCUUACUUCCUGCCUGGCCUGCUGGAAACACCGAGAGAAGCCAAUCUUCCGAGGACCUCCGUCUGGGAAAACUGACCUGGGGGCCACGCUAAGGGGAAAGCUCCCUGUUCUCUAACUCAGUGCUCUCUUCCAGGGUGGAGGCAGGGAUGAUGGCUUUCAUCAUUCAUAGGAGGAUGGCAUAAGCCCUGAGAGGUGAGAAAGCCUAGGUCUGUCCAGUCUCAGUUCCGCCCCGAUGCCUGCAGCAGAGCCUGCUGUGGGGACCUGCUGGAGACGUGCAGUGUGCACCCAGCCUCUCAUCAGCUCCAGGCUGCGCUGUCACCCCAUGGACAGUGACUUCUGGCAUCCACACACUCCAGACAGAUGUGCAGCCGGCGCUGCCAGCCCGGAAGGAUGUCUGACACGUUUCUCAGCUGUGUUGCCUCUUUCAAGGUCACUGGCUUGAGCUCUUCCCUGCUCCAAGCACACGGACAUGGCAGCGGGCAGCAGGCAGAUGGUGCGCGGUCUCACGUCCUCGGGCACCCGGCGGCGCGGGGACCCCUGCGGUCUCUGCACUGUGGGCACCUGCAAGCAGAGCUCUGCAGAUGAAACUGAAGCCCCCCAUCAUCACACACCAGGCUCCUGCCGCAGCCCCUGCGCUGCCCUCAGAACCGGCCUGCACACCCGCCCCACUGAGAGGCAGAGCUCUGCAGCUCCACAGCCCACGUUGUGCUGGUCAAAGCUCUGGACGCUGGAAGUCCUAGAGGAGGAUGUCAGGGCCUUCCCCCCUCUGAAGUCUGCAGGGAGGAUCGACCCACACCUGGCCCAGCUCUGGUGUGACCGGCAAUCCCAGGGGUCCUUGGCUCCAGUCUCCCCUCUGCUGUUGCAUGGCUGUCUUCUCUGGGUGUCUCUCUGUGCCUCUGCUCCUCCUACAGGGACAUCAGCCAUUGUACUGAGGGUCCACCCUACUCCAGGGUGACCUCACCCCAACCUCACCAAUGACAUCUGCAGAGACCCUAUUUCUAUAUAAGGUCACAUUCUGAGGUUCAGAUUCAUUAAUUAAAUCCACAGAGCACAGCCUCCUGCAGCCCUUCCACAGGCUCUGGAAGCUGAAUGCACCCGGAAGGUACCGAGAACUCUCGGGGUAAGGCUGGAGGUGCUCUAAGGGAGGACCAGAGAUGCCAGCUCACCCUGGAGUUCAUCUGAGCCACCCCAAGUGAACCACCGAGACAGCUCAUGCAUAGAGAGCCCAGACGAUCAUGAAAUCAGAUGCCUGCUGAGGGCUGGCCAACCCAGAGGCUUCUCCCAUCCACGUCUCACCCCGUCACUCCCCAGACUGGGCUGAGAGGUGGCCCUGCCCUCAGGAAGCACACACUCAGCAGGGAGAAUCCUCCAGAAAGAAACCACCUGUGAGGGGUGCCCACUGGCCACAGAGCCCCAGGGUCCACAGAGAGCGAGGCCACCUCAGGACCUGCAUGGAGACUUUACCUGCGUAGGCUGUGUUUUGAUUUAAACAGCCUCUUGGGAUGUGGGACUCAGGAUGGUGGUGAGCCACUUCCUGCUGCAGUGUGUCCCACCCGGCCUUCUGUUUCACGAGCUCUGGUCACUGUAUGAUUUGUGAAGCUCCCUGGGGGAAAGGGACCUGCUGCCAGACUGAUAUUUACAAAACCAGGCCUGCCGGGAAGGAGUCAGCUCAGUGCUCAGGCCUUACCAAUACUCCCCUGGGCUCAUUGUCAUCUCCAUUUAAAAGCCAGACUGGGCCAGAUGCGGUGGCUCAUACCUGUAAUUCCAGCACUUUGGGAAGCCAAAGCAAGAGGAUCACUUGAACUCAGGAGUUCAACACCAGCUGGACAACAUGGCACGACCCCCAUCUCUACAAAAAAAAAAAAA
ensembl:lncRNA